rnacentral:rRNA from 1 species
UACGUAGGCAGCGAGCGUUGUCCGGAAUUAUUGGGCGUAAAGAGCUCGUAGGCGGUCUGUCGCGUCGGCUGUGAAAUCCCGAGGCUCAACCUCGGGUCUGCAGUCGAUACGGGCAAACUGGAGUGUUGCAGGGGAGACUGGAAUUCCUGGUGUAGCGGUGAAAUGCGCAGAUAUCAGGAGGAACACCGGUGGCGAAGGCGGGUCUCUGGGCAACAACUGACGCUGAGGAGCGAAAGCGUGGGGAGCGAACAGG